rnacentral:rRNA from 1 species
UACAGAGGUCUCAAGCGUUGUUCGGAUUCAUUGGGCGUAAAGGGUGCGUAGGCGGCGCGGUAAGUCGGGUGUGAAAUCUCGGGGCUUAACUCCGAAACUGCAUUCGAUACUGCCGUGCUUGAGGACUGGAGAGGAGACUGGAAUUUACGGUGUAGCGGUGAAAUGCGUAGAUAUCGUAAGGAAGACCAGUGGCGAAGGCGGGUCUCUGGACAGUUCCUGACGCUGAGGCACGAAGGCCCGGGGAGCAAACGGG